UACAAUCAGCAGCAAUUUGGCCUUUGUGGGAUUGAGACUGAUCCUAUUUCAAGACCUCAGAGACUGAAUUUCAUAAAGACAGUUAGGCAGCAGGGAGACUUCAGUGACAGAAGCUGGUGUAAAGGUUAAGUAAAUUUGAAUAUUUUGAGUAUUGUGAAGGAAGCUCAAUUAAUGUUUGAUAAGAUGCCAUGCAGUAGCACGUUCAGGUAACUGAGUUGUGUCCAAAACAGGACUUGAGGCUAUUCUUCACUGUAAUGUUGGUAUGAAAGAUACGUAAGCUAGCAAAUACUUAAUCUUUUAAAUCCUUAAUUUCUGAGAUUUUUUUCCCUGUGUUUCCUUUAGUUCCUGUUGUUCUAUUACUUUUUUUUUUUUUUUUUUUAAAUCUGUUCCUCAAGCCCUCCCCAUUCCUUUGUCCCCAGAGUGUUGAUAGUGCUUAUGAUGUUACUAAACACCUCCAGGGGAAUUUUUAAGCAUGAACUCAAGCUGCUCGUUUACCUCGUUAAAGAAUCUUGUUUAAUAUUGCAAAUGAAAUGAUGUAUAAUAUUUAGGCAUAUUUAAAAAUUUUACUUCUCAUAUAAAGCCUGCUGCAAAAUGAAUGACAAGUAAAUCUUUCCUCUUACUGAUAUGUAAAUAGGUGAUCUGAAAAUUGCCUGGGUACGUGGUGCUUGGGUUUCUUAGUUGUCAUUGAAGCUGAUGUGCAUAUACAAGGUUAUUUAAGUAGCCCCGUGGUUUUUCAAAGGUAGCAGUGAACUGUGAAACAUGCUGGCCUUGCUGGGGUUUGGAGGUUUGGAAGUUGUACACCUGUGGUUUAGGGUCUGCCUAAGGCUGGGAUAAGAUACACAUCACCUUUGUGACCGUUGCUGUGCCCUGGAGUUUCUACAUACCUUCCCUCACACAGUAGAAAACAGACAAAUAUUAAAACUUCCAGCAAGGUAUGCAACAAGCCAGUGGCUGAGCAAGCUGUGACUGAGCAGUGCACUAGUGCACUCUCUGCGAAGGACACAGUGAAAGAGGCAAUCUUAGUUAUUUUUUCAUUCAUUCAUGGUUUUUUUUGUUCACCACACUCAGUGGUGCUGAGAAAUUUCAUUGACCCAGAUUUUGCUCAUUAUCUUUUAAGAUUGAGCUGGUAAUUUCACCACUGUGACUCUUCUGUGCAAUCUGUGUGGAGUUGGCUUCUCUGUCAAGAUGAGUCUGUGCUGUUGGCAGAAUGCUGGAUUAUACUUUUUCAUCCCUGCAGUAGAGCUGUAAUAAAAUAUUAACUGAAGGUUUUUCUUUGCAUUCUGUUACUGUGUGAUUAGAUCAAAUUUCAGAAGAGCCUCUUUUGGUCCCUGCUUAUCUUCUUCUAGUCCUUGGUCUUUGGACAUCUUUUUCUUUCUUACUGUAUCUUCAUGUUUUUCUUUUGUUUUGUUCUCGUCCCUGUCUUUUGCCAGUGCCAUGUAUCAGUUAUGUGGAGAUCUUUGAGUUUAAUCUUUUUUUGGUUGUUUGUACAGCCAGCUUCCUUCUUAUGCCACUUUGAUCAUUAUUCAUAUGCAUUAAAGCAGGAGCCGUAAGUGCAGUCAUGCAGGUUUUGAAAGACCCUUCUGUGAAGCUUGAGCUAUAAGGAUUUUUGCUGUGGAGAGUCACAAAGACAGAAUUUAAAUAAAAUCAUUCUGGACCUUAUUGAAGGAAAAAGGUGAUACCCUAUUGACUAAACUAGGACCUGUAUCUUCUGACAAACUCUUAUGAAUUCCUUCUGUUCUUUAAUUAGGAAAGUCGAUAUGAUCAAUCAGCAAGAGAAUUAGUACUGUUCAGAUAUUUAAUGUACCCUUUUUUAUCUUUGAAUUUUACAUGUUUUUAAAUGAUUGUGCAUUUGCUUCCCCAAAAUAAUUAAACCAAUGUUUUGCUACUUGGAAUGAUACGAAUAAAACCAAGAAGAGUUAAAAAUA